GUGAACGCUGGCGGUAGGCCUAACACAUGCAAGUCGAACGGCAGCACAGUAAGAGCUUGCUCUUACGGGUGGCGAGUGGCGGACGGGUGAGGAAUACAUCGGAAUCUACUUUUUCGUGGGGGAUAACGUAGGGAAACUUACGCUAAUACCGCAUACGACCUACGGGUGAAAGCAGGGGAUCUUCGGACCUUGCGCGAUUGAAUGAGCCGAUGUAGGAUUAGCUAGUUGGCGGGGUAAAGGCCCACCAAGGCGACGAUCCGUAGCUGGUCUGAGAGGAUGAUCAGCCACACUGGAACUGAGACACGGUCCAGACUCCUACGGGAGGCAGCAGUGGGGAAUAUUGGACAAUGGGCGCAAGCCUGAUCCAGCCAUACCGCGUGGGUGAAGAAGGCCUUCGGGUUGUAAAGCCCUUUUGUUGGGAAAGAAAAGCAGCAGGUUAAUACCCCGCUGUUCUGACGGUACCCAAAGAAUAAGCACCGGCUAACUUCGUG
rnacentral:rRNA from 1 species